rnacentral:lncRNA from 1 species
GCUGGCGGGGCCCGCGCGCGUGCGGUCGGGCGCGGUCGGACUGGGCCGGUUCGGCCCAAUGUGGCCGGGCCGGUCUGGUUUACCCCCUUUUUUUUAUCUUUUUGCCUUUUCUUUUUCUGCUUUUCUUAUUUCUUUGAUAUCUUUUGAGUUUGAACUCCAAAUUGGUCCAAAUAAAUCCCAGAAAAUUUGUAAAAUCAUGUCCUAGCAUGAUACAACUUUUGGGAGUAGCUUCCCCUCAAAAUAAAAUAUAUAAAAAUACACUUGCCCUAUAAAUGCCUUUAGGACUAUAUAUCUAUUUGAAUAUAGUACUUUUUCAACUCCAAAUAAUUAACCAAAAAUUAUGAGAUAGCUUAUAUAUGCAAUAAACCCCUUUUAUACUU